UUUCAAAAAUAACCUUUUGUUCAGCGCAAAAUCGUAUAGCGCUGAACUUAGACACCUCAGCGCCACGUCAACUGGCGCUGAAUGUCGUGCCACCGUGAAUAGGAGGCUGAGUCAGCGUGCCAAUGUACAUUCAGCGUCGUGCUAUUUAGCGCUGAGGUGUCUAAGUUUAGUGCCAUAUGAUUUGGCGCUGAACAAAAUGGUAAUUUUUUAAA
rnacentral:pre_miRNA from 1 species